UUACUUACCUGGCAGGGGAGAUACGAUGAUUACGAAGGUGGUUUCCCAGGGCGAGGCUUAUCCAUUUGCACUCUGGAAUGUGCUGACCCCUGCGAUUUCCCCAAAGUGGGAAUACAUCGACGCAUUAAUUUGUGGUUAGUUGGGGGAUCUUGCGUACGCGUUCGGCUCCUC
rnacentral:snRNA from 1 species